CCUCAGCCUCCCGAGUAGCUGGAACUACAGGCACACGCCACCACACCCAGCUAAUUUUUUGUAUUUUUAGUAGAGACGGGGUUUCACUGUGUUAGCCAGGAUGGUCUUGACUGCCUGACCUUGUGAUCCUUCUGCCUCGGCCUCCCAAAGUGCUGGGAUUACAGGUGUGAGCCACCGUGCCCGGCCUCUCUUCCUCUUUUUAUAAGAACACCAGUCCAAUAGGAUUAGGAUCUCAUCUUUAUGACCUCAUUUCAUCUUACUUACCUCCUAAAGAUCCUGUCUCCACAAGCGUCACAUUAGGGGUUAGGAUUUCAACAUUUACAUUUCGAGGGAACAUAACUUAGUCCACAGCAAGGAUGUCAUUUACUGAGAUGGAAAAGACGGGGAAAGAACACUGGAAAAAGAUAAGUCUACCCUCGUCACAAAGUGAGGAUAUUAGAUUUUCAAAUCAACAAAGCUGACCAAAGAUGACAAAGCUGAAGUACAGAGAAGUUGAGUCACUUGUCCAAGGCCAUAUGCUGGCAAAUGGUGGAAUGGGGCCCUGUCUGAUGUCAGAAUCUACACUUUGUUUCAUUCCAUUCCCCCACAGUGGAAAAUCUCUGACUUUGGAGUCAUAGAGGUCUGCGUUGGAAUCUUGGUUUUGCCAUUUACUUGUUGAGAGGAUUUGGAGAAGAAAACUGAGGCUAAACGUUUAAGUAGCUUUUCCAGAUUUGCACAGGACUCAGAACUUACAAGGUGGAGUGGAUCUCAGGACGGGUGAUCUAAUUUCCUACCUGGAGCUCUGGCAAGUACCCACCCUCCCACCUCAUCUCUCUUAUUUAACACCACCACAUCACACAUUCGAUGGAGACACGAGAAGUGAUACUGAGAAACACAAAGCAGCAAAAACAAUGCCCUAGAAGCAGACCAUGAAAGAUCUUGGAAGACUGACCAGUCUUCAGGCUUGGCAGGCUGCGCCAGAGCUUCCCACAGAGCCCACGGGUCCCUGCUGGCUCUGAAGUGGGCUGUGGGGGUGCCUGUGGAAUCUGCCCUCCACUGGUGGAAGAAGUGAGGGGUAAGAAAGAAGGAUUCAGCCAGAAACAAAUGGGAGCCCCCUAGGAUAGCCAGAGCUCACAUGCAGCCCCCUCCACAGGUGGCUCCCAGCCCACCAUUCCUGCAGGGAGAAGGAGGGCACAGUGGGGGCCACAUGCCUGGAGAGCCCAAGGAGAUCCAGCCAUCACUACUGGGACUAGGCCCCAGGGCCUGUCCAGCCUCCUGCCCAACUGCCUCUGAGAAAAGGGGAUGGGGUGAAGGGAAAAAGUGAGGGAGAGAAGUCUAUCUCUCAGCCAGGAAGAGCAAAGUCCCCCAGGCUCUCCCUAAAUGCCCUGGGGCUCACUUGGCCACCCCUGCAGAACCACACACUCAGGCCUCCUCCAGUUAGAGGUUGAGUGUUUUUUCCCACCCCCCAGGCAUGGGUGCUGGGAAAUGAUGGACUUAAUAAAGUUUAACAAAGAAAUGCAGUAGCCCUCUUUGGGUGGAUAGUCCUCUUCUUUGGAUGGGAGAAAUAGGAACUUUCAGAAGAUUCUAAGACAUCUGGAUAAACCAAGACUCUCUGAGUGGAGGCUGAAAAGUGAUAAAGAUUUUUGAGAUCCUGGGCCUUCCAAAAAGCUCCACGACCCAACCUCCAUGAAGGGAAGGCUCAGGCCAAGGGAGUGAGAGCUUUUAGAAAAUUCCACAGUCCCUAAAGAGGCCAUACGGUGACCUUUCAAGAUGAUAGGUUGAAUGGGAAGGGAGACAAUAGGGGUUCUGAAAGCUGAGCCUUCUAGAAAGUUCCACAGGUUGAGAUAGCCCUCAACCCAACCUCCAUGAAGGAAAGGCUGGGGCCCAGAGGAUGAGACCUGUGCCUUCCAGAAAGCGCCAUGAUCUGGUAACUGACUUGUGACCCAGCAGGGGCAUGGUGGAAAGGUGGGCAGUGUUUCCUACCUGGAGCUCUAUCACGUACCCACCCUCCAACUUCCUCUCUCUAAUUUAACAUCACCACAUCACACAUUCAAAGAAAAGACUAGAAGUGACACUGAAAAACACAAGGCAACAGAAACAAUGCCCAAGGGUUGACAUAAAAACAAAGACACAGGCCAUGCAAGAGCUUGGAAGACUGACCAGCCUUCAGGCUUGGCAAUCACCACCCUAUUACACCUCUAAAAAAAACCAAGGCCAGAAAGACCAUGUCAUUGUUAUCCAUUGUCAGUGACAAGGCUGGAAACUUGACUGGCCUGAUGCCAAAAUCCCAUUAUAAUCUGAAGCCUCAAGUAAGGUAAGACAUUUGGGACAGGGCCAGUGCACAGAAUUGGAGGGAUAAGAGGAAACCCUUCCUCUUGUUAGAAAUCUUCCUCACCGUCCUCCCUUCAGGAGCCAGAGACCCCUAAUCUUACCCCUCAAGUGCCAGAAACCUCGAGUCUCCCGCUUGCAGGGGCCAGGAAACCCCAGGUCUCAACCACCAGAGUACAGCCUCUGGGAGAGUCACUGAGACAGUCCACGAGAGAAGGAGCAGCCAGGAGAUCCCCCAGCUCCUUGUACUGGAAGGUGGUCUGGCCCUCAGUCUAGUUAGGCCUUGGCAUCCUGGUAUCAACUGGUUUAACUGCCGUGUAUCCCACUGUCUGGAAAGUGUACCAGAUGACCCAGAGACCACCUUCGCAUGGCUUCUGAGGCAGGAAUCAGAGGCACAAGCUGCCUGCCGAGAUUCCAAAGCACUGGUGUCACCCUGAGGGGUGGAAAGGAACGUCACAGUGGGUGGCCACCCCAUGCUUGCUUUGGGGACUGAUACUAGGGGUUCAGGACACCUGUAAGGGGUCUAAGGCAACUGAGUGUUUCAGCAUUGUAGGGCCUAGGCAGCUGAUCCCCUGUGAGAUGAACCAAGGCUGUUGUGGCCGACUGGUGGUCUAGGCCCCUGGUGGGCCUUGAGAUGUUAGGACACAGGCUGGGCACUGGGCAGCUGAUAUGCUCCAGGAAUAGCCAAGGCACCCCGU
rnacentral:lncRNA from 1 species